rnacentral:rRNA from 1 species
UACAGAGGGUGCAAGCGUUAAUCGGAAUUACUGGGCGUAAAGCGUGCGUAGACGGUUAUGUAAGUCGGGUGUGAAAGCCCCGGGCUCAACCUGGGAAUUGCAUUCGAGACUGCAUAGCUAGGGUGCGGAAGAGGGAAGCGGAAUUUCCGGUGUAGCGGUGAAAUGCGUAGAUAUCGGAAGGAACACCAGUGGCGAAAGCGGCUUCCUGGUCCAGCACCGACGUUCAGGCACGAAAGCGUGGGGAGCAAACGGG